GCGGUGGAUGAUGUGGUUUAAUUCGAUGCAACGCGAAAACCUUACCCACCUUUGACAUGGCAGGAAUCCUGAAGAGAUUUGGGAGUGCUCGAAAGAGAACCUGCACACAGGUGCUGCAUGGCUGUCGUCAGCUCGUGUCGUGAGAUGUUGGGUUAAGUCCCGCAACGAGCGCAACCCUUGCCAUUAGUUGCUACGAAAGGGCACUCUAAUGGGACUGCCGGUGACAAACCGGAGGAAGGUGGGGAUGACGUCAAGUCCUCAUGGCCCUUAUAGGUGGGGCUACACACGUCAUACAAUGGCCGGUACAGAGGGUAGCCAACCCGCGAGGGGGGAGCCAAUCCCACAAAGCCGGUCGUAGUCCGGAUCGCAGUCUGCAACUCGACUGCGUGAAGUCGGAAUCGCUAGUAAUCGCGGAUCAGCAUGUCGCGGUGAAUACGUUCCCGGGUCUU
rnacentral:rRNA from 1 species